GAUGUCUGAGCAGAAUAUUUUCUUUGCUGUGCUUAUUCCAGGCUAAAAAGCUAGCUCCCCUAAAAGCUAACAGCCCGUCUCACUACUUCAUACUACCAGCUUGCUACAGAAACCCAGUCCAAGGAGAGUCCAGCGUAGCAGCAGGAAGUGAACUCAUCCAGGAGGCAGCAGCAGUAUUUUCUGUCCCCACACUGGAGGAACCUGGGAUAAGACAAUCCCAGACUCGUUACCACCUUGCCCACUUUCCUUCACACCAAAGCAGUUUGGAAUGAAACAGGGGAACGUCUUUGACCCACUCAAACUCCAAAUGUUAGUUUAGACACUAAGCCACUGAACCAAGAUUCUCUGGCUUGAAAGGCACUGGGAUAGGGAGGAGCAAGUGCAUUGAUUGGUGGCACUCAUCACUUUCACUUCUGUUUCUAUCAUCAAGGAAGUGCAAGCAUUACUGAGAGCUAGCUGUAUUUUCCACCUGCUCCAGUUACUGAGUGUGAUAGAGUCAGUGCCAAAAGCAGGUAUCACAAGGGAUUUAUUACACUUCUGUGAAUUUUUCCUGGGAGGGGAGGAAAGGAAGAGAGCCAAAAAUGUUACAAGGAAGGAAGCCAUCAACUGAGAAUUCCUCUGAAUUGUUCCUGCACAAGAAACAGAUGAAACCACAGAACGCUCUGUGUACAAAGUGCAAAGUACAAAAGCUAGUUUAAUUGCCAGUGUUUGUUGUA